rnacentral:rRNA from 1 species
UACGGAGGGUGCGAGCGUUGUCCGGAAUCACUGGGCGUAAAGGGCGCGUAGGUGGCGCGGAAAGUCAACGGUGAAAGCUUGGGGCUCAACCCCGAGUCGGCCGUCGAUACUUCUGGGCUUGAGCACUGUAGAGGCAGGUGGAAUUCCGGGUGUAGCGGUGGAAUGCGUAGAGAUCCGGAAGAACACCAGUGGCGAAGGCGGCUCACUGGCCCGGUACUGACGCUGAUGUGCGAAAGCGUGGGGAGCAAACAGGG